ACAAUUGGGGCUGAUGCAAAUCAGUUGCAUAAGAAACUCUGUUGGAGAAAAUAGUCGCUGAAAUUCGGAAGAAUCUGUCUUUCCUGCUUAUUUUUCAAGCAUACUCUCACAUAUUUAAAUCAGCAAAUUUCAAGUGGAACCAAGUAAAGGACUGUUCUAUUGGUCAGGCUCACGUGUAAACACAGUUAUGUCAGCAGUAUUUUGACGGCAGAAAUGGUCCCAGUACACAGGCUGUUGUCGCAACUAAAAUUUUUACAAUCCCUUCAGAUCAUCCGUGGAGUAACUGGAGAGCCGCGUGUGGGAGGCCCGGGCUUCCCGGCCACAAGGAGUCUUCUUUCCCGCCUUGGAGGGAGCGGGCCGGCUCCGGCCUGGCCGAUCCGCAGGCCCCGCGGUCUGUUGGGUCCCCUGCUCUCGUAGUCACGGCACCUCUUCUUACGUCUAUUACAAGAAAGUGUUCAGAAGAGCCAACUUAUUUCCUCAAGAAAAAGAAAUCAAGAGCCUGGUGUGUUUCGCCUCAUGCUUUGGAUACACUAAUCCAAAUCAGGCCGCUUAGCGAACUUGUCCCUCCUCUGUCUGCUCUGCAGUUGGUGGCCCACCCUGUCA